CGGCAGGAUUGAAGAAAGGAGUACUUGCUUUAAAAUAAAUUAAGAUGAAGGACAUCUCUUCAGUUCUAUUCAUUUUGUUUGUUCUUUUCAUUGGAAUUGAACAUGAAGGGCCAUUAAAAGUCAUAGAAGCGAAAAUUUGUGACAUAAAAUUGUAUAACUACUGCGAUCAAAGUUGUUUCACCGAUUGCUUCAGGAAAUAUGGGAAGAAAGUAUUACCUCUGUGCAAUGAAUGGGGUCAAUGCAUAUGCCGUUAUCGAUGCUAAGUGUUUGACAUUUUGUCCAACAUCCUUAUGAAUGCUAGAUUAUGUAGCAACAACUCUUAAUUCAAAAAAAAAAUAAAGUUACUCUUUUGUUAUUUUUAUCUA